rnacentral:rRNA from 1 species
UGGAUUGGUGCCUUCGGGAACUCUGACACAGGUGCUGCAUGGCUGUCGUCAGCUCGUGUCGUGAGAUGUUGGGUUAAGUCCCGUAACGAGCGCAACCCUUGCCUUUAGUUGCCAGCAGUUCGGCUGGGCACUCUAAAGGGACUGCCGGUGUUAACCGGAGGAAGGUGGGGAUGACGUCAAGUCCUCAUGGCCUUUAUGACCAGGGCUACACACGUACUACAAUGGCCGAUACAAAGGGCAGCGACACUGCGAGGUGAAGCCAAUCCCGUAAAAUCGGUCUCAGUCCGGAUUGGAGUCUGCAACUCGACUCCAUGAAGUUGGAAUCGCUAGUAAUCGUGGAUCAGCAUGCCACGGUGAAUACGUUCCCGGGCCUU